UACGGGGGGGGCAAGCGUUGUUCGGAAUUACUGGGCGUAAAGGGCUCGUAGGUGGCCAACUAAGUCAGACGUGAAAUCCCUCAGCUUAACUGGGGAACUGCGUCUGAUACUGGAUGGCUUGAGUGUAGGAGAGGAAUGCGGAAUUCCAGGUGUAGCGGUGAAAUGCGUAGAUAUCUGGAGGAACACCGGUGGCGAAGGCGGCAUUCUGGACUACAACUGACACUGAGGAACGAAAGCCAGGGGAGCAAACGGG
rnacentral:rRNA from 1 species